rnacentral:rRNA from 1 species
AUUGAACGCUGGCGGUAUGCUUAACACAUGCAAGUCGAACGGUAGCAGGCCUUCGGGCGCUGACGAGUGGCGGACGGGUGAGUAAUGCAUAGGAAUCUGCCUAUUAGUGGGGGAUAACGUGGGGAAACUCACGCUAAUACCGCAUACGCCCUACGGGGGAAAGCGGGGGACUUUCGGGCCUCGCGCUAAUAGAUGAGCCUAUGUUGGAUUAGCUAGUUGGUAGGGUAAAGGCCUACCAAGGCGACGAUCCAUAGCUGGUCUGAGAGGAUGAUCAGCCACACUGGGACUGGGACACGGCCCAGACUCCUACGGGAGGCAGCAGUGGGGAAUAUUGGACAAUGGGCGAAAGCCUGAUCCAGCAAUACCGCGUGUGUGAAGAAGGCCUGAGGGUUGUAAAGCACUUUCAAUGGGAAGGAAUACCUACCGGCCAAUACCCGGUAGACUGACAUUACCCAUACAAGAAGCACCGGCUAACUCCGAGCCAGCCGCCGCCGUAACAC